AUACGUAGGGGGCGAGCGUUGUCCGGAAUUACUGGGUGUAAAGGGAGCGUAGGCGGGAUGGCAAGUCAGAAGUGAAAACUAUGGGCUCAACCCAUAGACUGCAUUUGAAACUGUUGUUCUUGAGUGAAGUAGAGGUAAGCGGAAUUCCUGGUGUAGCGGUGAAAUGCGUAGAUAGCAGGAGGAACAUCGGUGGCGAAGGCGGCUUACUGGGCUUUUACUGACGCUGAGGCGCGAAAGCGUGGGGAGCAAACAGGAUUAGAUACCCUGGUAGUCCACGCUGUGAACGAUGAAUACUAGGUGUGGGGGGACUGACCCCCUCCGUGCCGCAGUUAACACAAUAAGUAUUCCACCUGGGGAGUACGAUCGCAAGAUUGAAACUCAAAUGAAUUGACGGGG
rnacentral:rRNA from 1 species